rnacentral:tRNA from 1 species
GUCAGGAUGGCUGAAUGGUUUAAGGCACUGCAUUCAGGUUGCAUUUUCUCCUGGAGGCAUAGGUUCGAAUCCCGCUUCUGACA